rnacentral:rRNA from 1 species
GACGAACGCUGGCGGCGUGCUUAACACAUGCAAGUCGAACGGAAAGGCCCUGCUUGCAGGGUACUCGAGUGGCGAACGGGUGAGUAACACGUGGGUGAUCUGCCCUGCACUUCGGGAUAAGCCUGGGAAACUGGGUCUAAUACCGGAUAGGAGCCAUUUUUAGUGUGAUGGUUGGAAAGUUUUUUCGGUGUAGGAUGAGCUCGCGGCCUAUCAGCUUGUUGGUGGGGUAAUGGCCUACCAAGGCGGCGACGGGUAGCCGGCCUGAGAGGGUGGACGGCCACAUUGGGACUGAGAUACGGCCCAGACUCCUACGGGAGGCAGCAGUGGGGAAUAUUGCACAAUGGGCGCAAGCCUGAUGCAGCGACGCCGCGUGGGGGAUGACGGCCUUCGGGUUGUAAACUCCUUUCGCUAGGGACGAAGCAUUUUGUGACGGUACCUAGAUAAGAAGCACCGGCUAACUACGUG